UGAAUUUUGGGUACCAGAGGUAGAAUGUUAGGGUUUUAAUGUGUCCCCAAAACUCCCAUUGAAACAUAAUUGCUAUUAUGAUACUAAAAGUAGGGCUUUUGAGAGAUGAUCAGGCCAUGAAGUCUCCCUUCAUCAUUUAAUUAAUGCCUGAUUAUAGAAGUGGGUUAGUUUAUGUGAGAGUGAAUAUAAGUUCAGCCCCUUCUCUGUCUUAUAUGUGCACUUGCCCUUCCACGAUGGUAGGGUAGGUUGCAGAAAGAAGUCCUCACCAGAUGUUGGUGACAUGCUCUUCAAUUUCCUAGCCUUUGGAGCCAUAAACCAAAUAUAAACAUUUAUUGUUGAUAAGUUACUCAGUCUGUGGAAUUCUGUAAUAGCAGCACAUAAUGGUCUAAGAUAGCCUCCAUAACAAUAUGGUAACGUUGUAAUAAUAGUUUUAUAAUACACUGUUAUGGCAUGACAUACAUGGAGAAGAAAGAAUGGGUAAAAAGAAAAAUGUGUGAAUAAAUAGAGACAUAAAUUAUGGUUGAAAAGCAGAUGCCAAAGAGAAAGGGGACAAAAUUCAAAGAUUAAGCAUGAAAACAUGAACCCAAUAAUAAUUUAAAAAGAAAUAACCAAGAAUACAUUGAUACAAAGUAAGUUAUGAGAGAUUUUGAAGGUGAGCACAUUAAAAGAAAUGAAAAGAUCAGUAUAGAAAUUCUUUCUGAAAUAACAUAAAUGAGCAAAAAAAAAGGCAAUAAAGCUCUAUGAAAUGUCUUGAGAAAAAUGUGUAAAAAAAAUCAGGACCUUAAGGUUGUUUUGGGUGUGGAAUCUAGAUCCAAUAUAUAACCAAUCGUCUAGUUGAAUUGGAUGAAACAUGGGCUAUAUCCCAAAGAAAGCCAAGUGCUUUGGGUCCUUUAAAGGACCUACUGUCUCAAGUUUAUAUUAUCAAAGAAGGUCAAGAGUAAACUGUAGGCACCUUUGGUCCCAAACAUAUACAAAGAGAUAGGUAAUUUUUUGUAUAGGAAUGACUUGAUGAUUGUUAAUUCAGUGGUUUGCAAUAGCCAGUAUGUACUGAACUAGAAGGCUGAAUGCACAUCUUGCCCCAUGUUCAACACAUCCAAUUGUGUAUAUAACUCCACGUUCAGUAAUAUCAUGUUGUAAAUUGACAUUUUCCCUGUGGUGGGAAUAUUUACAUCAUGGAAAUCAACUAACACUGCAAUUAGGAAGGCUGCUUUAUUUAUUUAUUUUUCAUACCAGUGAUCUGGUUUAUUGUUAUGCUAUUAUACCAGCCCUUCAUAUUUCAUUUGCUUAUUUAUAAGAGCAUGAAUGGUACAACUGGAGGACAAUUAGAUAGAAUCUGAAUAAAACAAGUCCUGGAAACAUAUAGUCAGUUUUCAGCAAUUCUAGUGGCAUAGCACAGGGAUUUUUCUGCUGAUCAAUGAGCUAUAGAUGUGCAUUCUUGACAAAGUUUGCAUCUCAAAACUUACUUUUUAGGUGUCUUUUUCCCAGUCCUUCAUUCCUGCACUAUAGCUAAUAAUUCUAGGGUUUUAGGGAAGGCUGCUCAUAAGCACGGAUCUCUCUCUGUAUAUAUAUCCUUCUAUAUCUGUAUCAUCUACAUUUAUCAAUCUUUUUAUCUAUAUUUCUAUUUUAAAGCAAUAGAGGGAUCAAAAAUAAUAAAAAUGCUUUUCUAUGUGAUGUGGUAAUAAGGAGGCUGUAUAAUGGGGAAGACAUGAAGGACAUGUAUCCAUGAAUGUACCUGUUAUAAAGAUUUGGCUUUGGGCCAUGUGAACAUGAUCUGUAAUAUAAACUGACUUAAAUCAAAAGGGGGAAAAGCAAAACUUAAAUCAAAUUAAAAUAAUAAACUUAUCUCUGUGAACAACUAUGAAAGAUCUGAGAUUUUACCCAAGGUAGACUCCUUCAGUUUUAUAGGUGCUGACUGGGACAUGACAUUCUUUGGACAGAAACAAAGGACUUUACAACUCAUGGUAUAGCAAGAACCAUGAGCAUUGUUAUCAGUUGUCUUGUGGGGAUAAGUCCAGUGGGGUGGAGAAAGUAUGCCCCAGGUGAAUGCAGAAAAAAGAAGAGGCUUGUUUCAUUCAUGAAGUUCCUUUAGUUUAGGAAUCCCUGAAUCUUAUAGAUGUUACUAGUAAACUUGCCUGAAGUUUAGCCAGAGGGAGACAUUAUCUUUACUGUUCUGAUAAAGAAACAAAUCUGCUUCCUGGCAUAGAAGAAGAUCUUAUUCAAUCUUCCAAGUAUGUCUGCUAUAAAAAUACUUUAAAAAACCAUUACAUGAUAAAAUCUAAUCAAACAUGAUGAACUACCAUGGACAAUUGUAUUCCAACAUUAUAUAUUGCUAUAUAUUAAGCUGAUGAUAUCACCUCACAGAGAAAGUUAAUCCCAAGUUACUCUAUAACAUAGCGUUUGAUGUUAUAUACUUAGGAGGAUAUGUUCGAAUGAAAAGAAAAAGAAAAAUUAAAUUGUAUUCACUAGUUAUUAUUAGUAGCAUUAACAUUUUAUUUUGAAACUAUUACAAAUAUUUUAUAAGGCAAAUAACAUAAAUCAAAAUGCUAGUAUCUUUAGUUACCAAAAUUGUCAAGUAAAAGUUUGAUAUACUGCUGAACUGAACUUGGAAAUGUCAGAAUCAAUUCCUAUUUUUUCCUGCUCUAUAAAAAUUGUCUCCCAAGUUGACACUGAAAAUGCCUAGAAGCAAAGACAUCCAAUGAGCAUCUCUAGCACCUGGUGUCUUACUGUGCUUUCUGCAUAUGGUAUUCUUGGUCAAUUUCCAUAUAUGUUGAAAGAAAUGUAAAAUAGGUAACUGGGAUAUAAGUUCAUGUCAGAGAAAUAGGAAAUCUAUCAAUGCUUGAUGUGUAAAAGGAUAGGAGUUAACACUUGAAUUUACAUUGAAAUAAUAUGGUAAAAUUUGACAAAGAAAAUAAUUGGAAACAAUUGGAUUACAUUGCAUAUUUAACAUUUCAUGAAUUUUUAUGAUAUUUCAAUACACAUACUUAUGAACACUUACAUAGCUCAUUAGCACCGCAGGAAUUUUGUUGGGUCCCAAUUCAUUAUUCUAAAAUACAUCUACUUUACUAAUGGUAAAGAACUAUUUAUUUUUUCUUUCCUAUAUAAACCAAAUUUAAGAGUAGAAAAGUACUUGAUGUGGAAAAGUUCUCCUCUAUAGACUAAAAGCAGCAGAAACAAUGGAAUUGGAAAAUCAUCAAUGGGUAAUUUCUACUUUAAGAAUGACUGUAGGGAGUUGGGGUUGUGGCUCAGCCGUAUAGCACUCACCUUGCACAUGGGAGGUGGUGGGUUUGAUCCUCAGCACCACAUAAAAAUAAAUAAAAAAUGAAAUAAAGAUAUUGAGUCCAACUACAACUAAAAAUAAUGGCUCUAGGCCAUGGUCAUCAUUGGAAGCUAAGUUUAUUGCAUGAAAGUGAUAGGGAACUUUAUAAUUGACAUUUCAGGCUGGUACCACCUGAAAUUGAUAGGCAAUCACAGCAUAAUUCAAGAAUAGUACAAUGCAGAAUGGUUUAUGAUGCAAUAGUAAGUGCUGAAUUAUAAUACUCUGCUGUGUUUUUGUCAGAAAAGUGCAUCUGAAUCACCAGACUUCACUCUCUGUUUAUAGGAGCUAUAAGCUAUCAUGGAGGAACAAAUUAAAAUUUACUACAAUGAACCAACAACCAAACCCAGUAUAUAGAAUAUUCUAUAACUUAAUAACCUGGCUUCUCACAAAACUGAGUGGAAAAACUGUUAAAUAUCAUUUUAGAAUGAAAAAAAUUAUGCACAUAAAACAAUAAAUAAAAUGUAUAUAUAUUGGGUCUUGAUUCAAAUAAAACAACUUCCAAAAGGAACAUUUACAUCAGUAGGAAAAAUUUGAAUAUUAUUUUAAGAUGAAGGUACUUAAGCUACAUAGUUGUCUAAGAUAAAGAUUACCAAAUGGAAGAGCUAAAUAAUAUGUUUAAUGGCAAUACUUGUAAAAUGUGUUUGAGAUAAAAUUCUGAAAUCAAGAAUAUCCCAAUAGAAAUAGAGGCAUGAUUGAGGUUCUAAAAAGUAGGUAGAUUCUGUUGAAAACAAGUUAUAUAAUUGAAUUUGAUUUGAUUAGAGAACCAAUAUCAGCAGACAUAUUUGGGUUCAUUGCUUAGAAAGCUCACACAGUAUUAUACUGCUGUUUUGGUCAGUUUUGUUGCUGCGGUGACUAAAGGAUCUGACCAGAACAACUGUAGAUGAGGAAGAGUUUAUUUGAGGGUUCAUGGUUUCCGAGAUCUUAGUCCAUAGAAGGCUGGCUCCAUUUCUCACCAUUUCAGGUGAGGCUGAACAUGGCAGAAGAGUGUGGAAGUGGGAAGCCGCUCAGAUCACUGUCAUAAGGCAGCAGAGAGAGAGACUGUGCUUGCCAGAUACAAANCAUAAAAAUAAAUAAAAAAUAAAAUAAAGAUAUUGAGUCCAACUACAACUAAAAAAAAAAUGGCUCUAGGCCAUGGUCAUCAUUGGAAGCUAAGUUUACUGCAUGAAAGUGAUAGGGAACUUUAUAAUUGACAUUUCAGGCUGGUACCACCUGAAACUGAUAGGCAAUCACAGCAUAAUUCAAGAAUAGUACAAUGCAGAAUGGUUUAUGAUGCAAUAGUAAGUGCUGCAUUAUAAUACUCUGCUGUGUUUUUGUCAGAAAAGUGCAUCUGAAUCACCAGACUUCACUCUCUGUUUAUAGGAGCUAUAAGCUAUCAUGGAGGAACAAAUUAAAAUUUACUACAAUGAACCAACAACCAAACCCAGUAUAUAGAAUAUUCUAUAACUUAAUAACCUGGCUUCUCACAAAACUGAGUGGAAAAACUGUUAAAUAUCUUUUUAGAAUGAAAAAAAUUAUGCACAUAAAACAAUAAAUAAAAUGUAUAUAUAUUGGGUCUUGAUUCAAAUAAAACAACUUCCAAAAGGAACAUUUACAUCAGUAGGAAAAAUUUGAAUAUUAUUUUAAGAUGAAGGUACUUAAGCUACAUAGUUGUCUAAGAUAAAGAUUACCAAAUGGAAGAGCUAAAUAAUAUGUUUAAUGGCAAUACUUGUAAAAUGUGUUUGAGAUAAAAUUCUGAAAUCAAGAAUAUCCCAAUAGACAUAGAGGCAUGAUUGAGGUUCUAAAAAGUAGGUAAAUUCUGUUGAAAACAAGUUAUAUAAUUGAAUUUGAUUUGAUUAGAGAACCAAUAUCAGCAGACAUAUUUGGGUUCAUUGCUCAGAAAGCUCACACAGUAUUAUACUGCUGUUUUGGUCAGUUUUGUUGCUGCGGUGACUAAAGGAUCUGACCAGAACAACUGUAGAUGAGGAAGAGUUUAUUUGAGGGUUCAUGGUUUCCGAGAUCUUAGUCCAUAGAAGGCUGGCUCCAUUUCUCACCAUUUCAGGUGAGGCUGAACACGGCAGAAGAGUGUGGAAGAGGGAAGCCACUCAGAUCACUGUCAUAAGGCAGCAGAGAGAGAGACUGUGCUUGCCAGAUACAAAUAUAUAUCCCAAAGCUACGCCUCAAUUCCCAUCUCUUCCAGUCACACCCUACCACUUCAGUUACUAUUCAGUUAACCCCUUUGAGUGAAGUAAACCCUUGGGUUAAGAUUUUCACAACCUAAUCAUUUCUCCUCCAAAACUUGCAUUGUCUCACACAUGAGCUUUUGGGGGACAUCUCAUCUAAACCAUAACACCUGCAUUAAUAAAUAUACCUUCUACAAGAUGCAUUUAGUAUUUUUUUCAUUAUACUCUUGUCAGACUGUAUCAGCAAUCCCUCCCUCCAUAACAAUAGUUCUCCCUAGACUCAUUUGUCACUAUCUGCAAAAGGUACAUGUUCAUUUUUUUUUAAAGUAAGGUUUAUUGAUACAGAAUUUACUACAAUCAACUGAUUUUCUCCUGUAAAGUUCUUUGGGUUUUGAUAAAUUCACCUAAUUGUGAAUGCAGCACCAUACAACAAUCAUUGUACAUAAUGUGUGUGUCUUAUCAGCACAAAAACAUCAUGCAAAAAAUCCUUUUAGCAAAACCUUAUCCUUAUCCCAACCCAUGGAAAUCUGUUUUCUGUUCUUAUAGAUUGUAUUCCCAUGGUUGAUAUGUAAAUGAGAUAAGAAAUAUUCAUCAUUUAGAAUUUGGCUUCUUUCAUUUAGUGUAAUGAAUUGUUAUUCAUUUUGCAUAUGUUAGUAGUUAAUUUAUUUUUAUUACUGAGUAGUAUUGCUCUGUAUGGAUAUACCACAUUUUGUGUAAUCAUUUGCAACUGAAAGAAAAAUUUGGGUGGCUUCCACUUUGUAGCUAUGAUCAAUAGAGUCACUGUAAACAUUUAUGUAUAGGAUUUUAAGUGAAGGUAAACUUUAAUUUCUUGAAGAUAAAUAUGUAACAGUGGGAUUUCUGAAUCACCAUGGCAAGUGUGUAUUUAACCUUAUAAAUAAAUGACAAACUAUUUUGAACAAUAGUUGUACAGUUUUGGAUUCUUUCUAGCAAUAUAUGAAAGUUCCAAUUGUUCCACAUCUUUGUCAGCACUCACUACUGUCACUUUUUAAAAUUUAAACCAUUCUACUUGGGGUUGAAGUGGAUUUGAUUGUGAUUAUUAGCAUAUCCUUAAUGAUUAAUAAUGUUGAGUCUGCUUUCAUUGCUUAGUUUCUAUCUGUAUACCUUCUUUUGUGAUGUAUGUGUUCACAUAUUAUAAAUUAAAUUAUAAAUUAAAUCUUUUUAUCAUUUAAUUUGGAUCAUUCCCU
rnacentral:lncRNA from 1 species